CACGUAGGGGGCAAGCGUUGUCCGGAUUUAUUGGGCGUAAAGAGCUCGUAGGCGGUUCGGUAAGUCGGGUGUGAAACCUCCAGGCUCAACCUGGAGACGCCACCCGAUACUGCUGUGACUAGAGUCCGGUAGGGGAGCGUGGAAUUCCUGGUGUAGCGGUGAAAUGCGCAGAUAUCAGGAGGAACACCAGCGGCGAAGGCGGCGCUCUGGGCCGGAACUGACGCUGAGGAGCGAAAGCGUGGGGAGCAAGCAGG
rnacentral:rRNA from 1 species